GAUGAAGAACGCAGCGAAAUGCGAUAAGUAGUGUGAAUUGCAGAAUUCAGUGAAUCAUCGAAUCUUUGAACGCACAUUGCGCCCUUUGGUAUUCCAAAGGGCAUGCCUGUUCGAGCGUCAUUUGUACCCUCAAGCUUUGCUUGGUGUUGGGCGUCUUGUCUCUAGCUUUGCUGGAGACUCGCCUUAAAGUAAUUGGCAGCCGGCCUACUGGUUUCGGAGCGCAGCACAAGUCGCACUCUCUAUCAGCAAAGGUCUAGCAUCCAUUAAGCCUUUUUUUCAACUUUUGACCUCGGAUCAGGUAGGGAUACCCGCUGAACUUAAGCAUAUCAAUAAGCGGAGGA
rnacentral:misc_RNA from 1 species